UACGUAGGGGCCGAGCGUUGUCCGGAGUUAUUGGGCGUAAAGCGCGCGCAGGCGGCCUCGCGCGCCCGACGUGAAAGCCCCCGGCUUAACCGGGGAGGGUCGUUGGGGACGGCGGGGCUUGAGGGCGGGAGAGGUCGGUGGAAGUUCCCGGUGUAGUGGUGAAAUGCGUAGAGAUCGGGAGGAACACCUGUGGCGAAGGCGGCCGACUGGGCCGACCCUGACGCUGAGGCGCGAAGGCGUGGGAGCGAACGGG
rnacentral:rRNA from 1 species